UCCCUGAUGGCUUAAUGGUAAAGAAUCUGCCUGCAAUGCAGAAGACAUGGGUUCAAUCCCUGGGCAAGGAA
rnacentral:tRNA from 1 species